rnacentral:rRNA from 1 species
AGAAUCAACGCUGGCGGCGUGCCUAACACAUGCAAGUCUCACGAGAAAGGGUAGCAAUACCUGAGUACAGUGGCGCACGGGUGAGUAACACGUGAAUAAUCUACCUCCGAGUGGGGAAUAACUGAGAGAAAUCUUAGCUAAUACCGCAUAAUACCCACGGGUCAAAGCAGCAAUGCGCUUGGAGAGGAGUUCGCGGCAGAUUAGUUAGUUGGCGGGGUAAUGGCCCACCAAGACGAUGAUCUGUAUCCGGCCUGAGAGGGCGCACGGACACACUGGAACUGAAACACGGUCCAGACUCCUACGGGAGGCAGCAGUGGGGAAUUUUGCGCAAUGGGGGAAACCCUGACGCAGCAACGCCGCGUGGAGGAUGAAGCCCCUUGGGGUGUAAACUCCUUUCGAUCGGGAAGAUAAUGACGGUACCGAUAUAAGAAGCCCCGGCUAACUUCGCGCCAGCAGCCGC